UACGAAGGGGGCUAGCGUUGCUCGGAAUCACUGGGCGUAAAGGGUGCGUAGGCGGGUCUUUAAGUCAGGGGUGAAAUCCUGGAAGCUCAACGUCCAGAACUGCCUUUGAUACUGACGGAUCUUGAGUACGGGAGAGGUGAGUGGAAACUGCGAGUGUAGAGGUGAAAUUCGUAGAUAUCAGGAGGAACACCGAUGGCGAAGGCAGCUCGCUGGGACGGGUACUGACGCUGGAGGCGACGAAGCGUGGGGAGCAAACAGG
rnacentral:rRNA from 1 species